rnacentral:misc_RNA from 1 species
ACACCUCAACUCCCAUGGCUCGCCAUGGUGAGCUUGGACUUUGGGGGUUUUGCUGGCCUACGGUCGGCUCCUCUCAAAUGAAUUAGCCUGCCAGUGUUUGGUGGCAUCACAGGUGUGAUAAAUAUCUACACUUGUGAUUGCCCACCAGGUAACCUUCAGCAAUGGGGGUUCACUGGGGCUCAUAGACGUCUCUCCCUCAGCGAGGACAACUCUUUAAA